rnacentral:rRNA from 1 species
CCUACGGGCGGCUGCAGUAGGGAAUCUUCCACAAUGGACGCAAGUCUGAUGGAGCAACGCCGCGUGAGUGAAGAAGGUUUUCUGAUCGUAAAGCUCUGUUGUUGGUGAAGAAGGAUAGAGGUAGUAACUGGCCUUUAUUUGACGGUAAUCAACCAGAAAGUCACGGCUAACUACGUGCCAGCAGCCGCGGUAAUACGUAGGUGGCAAGCGUUGUCCGGAUUUAUUGGGCGUAAAGCGAGCGCAGGCGGAAGAAUAAGUCUGAUGUGAAAGCCCUCGGCUUAACCGGAGUAGUGCAUUGGAAACUGGAAGACUUGAGUGCAGAAGAGGAGAGUGGAACUCCAUGUGUAGCGGUGAAAUGCGUAGAUAUAUGGAAGAACGCCAGCGGCGAAAGCGGCUCUCUGGUCUGUAACUGACGCUGAGGUUCGAAAGCGUGGGUAGCAAACAGGAUUAGAUACCCCUGUAGUC